rnacentral:rRNA from 1 species
UACGUAGGGGGCUAGCGUUGUCCGGAUUUAUUGGGCGUAAAGAGCGUGUAGGCGCCAGGUAGGUCCGUUGUGAAAACUCGAGGCUCAACCUCGAGACGUCGGCGGAAACCCUCUGGCUAGAGUCCGGAAGAGGAGAGUGGAAUUCCUGGUGUAGCGGUGAAAUGCGCAGAUAUCAGGAAGAACACCCGUGGCGAAGGCGGCUCUCUGGGACGGUACUGACGCUGAGACGGCGAAAGCGUGGGGGAGCAAACAGG